rnacentral:rRNA from 1 species
UAACGCGUGAGGAACCUGCCUCAAAGAGGGGGACAACAGUUGGAAACGACUGCUAAUACCGCAUAAGCCACAGCUCGGCAUCGAGCAGAGGGAAAAGGAGUGAUCCGCUUUGAGAUGGCCUCGCGUCCGAUUAGCUAGUUGGUGAGGUAAUGGCCCACCAAGGCGACGAUCGGUAGCCGGACUGAGAGGUUGAACGGCCACAUUGGGACUGAGACACGGCCCAG